UGGGGAAUAUUGGACAAUGGGGGAAACCCUGAUCCAGCAAUGCCGCGUGAGUGAAGAAGGCCUUAGGGUUGUAAAGCUCUUUCGCCCGCGAAGAUAAUGACGGUAGCGGGAGAAGAAGCCCCGGCUAACUCCGUGCCAGCAGCCGCGGUAAUACGGAGGGGGCUAGCGUUGUUCGGAAUUACUGGGCGUAAAGCGUACGUAGGCGGAUGCGCAAGUUGGGGGUGAAAUCCCGGGGCUUAACCUCGGAAUUGCCCUCAAAACUGCACGUCUUGAGACCGAGAGAGGUAAGGGGAAUUCCUAGUGUAGAGGUGAAAUUCGUAGAUAUUAGGAAGGACACCAGUGGCGAAGGCGCCUUACUGGCUCGGUACUGACGCUGAGGUACGAAAGCGUGGGGAGCAAACA
rnacentral:rRNA from 1 species